GGCGUAGCAAAAUACUGUGGCAGUCCAGAAGCAGCAAUUUAACCGUGCGGCAACUACCAGGUCAUUUUCUGCACUUUCAGAUACAUCUUAUUUGUUCCUAACGUCUUCUGAGGCUCUCACUGCACUUCAAAGUUUAAUAGAUUAGACACUACAGCUUCGCUAUGAAACAGAGCUUGCAAUGCUUGGCUGCCUCUGGGUGUGCAAAUGCCAGUGGAGGCUGGAACCCCCCUGUGCCUGACUAGCAGCCAGCGAGUGCCUGCCUUGAUCAAGGACCUUGCUGCAUCAGUCUGUGCAUUUCUCACUUCCAUCCUGGAUCACUGCACUCCUUCUCAUCAGAACAAAGCAGAAGCUGUACCUUAAUCCUGACGAAAACAGAAACAUCAAGAGGAUUUGUUCUAUGAAUAAGAAGAGAGACAGCAAAUCUGGGUUUUUAAGGUCUGUGGUUAAUAAAACUUUACACUUCUGAGAAGUCUGUAAGUAUCUAACAUAAAAAUAUUUACUACAUAGUAAAAUUAAAAAUGAAUGUUUGCUACAGAAGUCAUUAAAAUGAGAGAGUCUGAAAGCUGAAGUUAGACUGAUUUAUGCAACUGCUGUAAAGUAGCGUCAGUAUGCGGUAACUGCAGAAAGUAAAAACUGACUUAAUUGAUGCUUCUGGAGCAAAAGCUCUCAGGUAUCUUGGUGAUACUGCUACAGAAUCACAGGGUGGCCAAGGUGGGAUGACCUCUGGGUCAGUCUGCUUCAACUCCAGCUCUCGCAGGGCCAUCAGAGCAGGGUGCCCAGGCCCACAUCCAGGCAGCCUCUGGAUAUCUCCAAGGCUGAAGACUCCGCAACCUAUCUGGACAACAGGCAACAGUACUGCUGCCUAGGGUUGUUCCUUCCCAUGUGCAGGACUUUGCACUUCCCUUUGCUGAACUGUUAGAACAACUCAAUCCUGGCAGUACUGGCUCCAUGUCUGUUUUGCCUGUUGUUACUACUUUUAAGCUCAUUCUUUCCUGAACUGUUUAUGUAAGACUGCCAAGUAGCAAUUUAGCUGCAUUUAUGCUGCGUGCACUUAAACUGGGUAAUCCCUCUCCCUGGCCUGGCUGUGCUUCUGGUGGUACCGCCCAGGACGCUGCCUGGGCACACUGCUGGCUCCGAGCCUGCAUCUAACCCUCCACCCUGCAGCGUCCCGCUCCGCUUGCGAGGUGCAGAAGGGCCUUUGCUUGGGCCUGGCGGGCGGGCGGUCGCCCGCACAAAACACCUCAGGGUUGUGAAGAAGCACUGAGAAAGGAACAAUUCCCCACAGCGAAUGCAUAUGUCAGCCUUAUGCCAGCGCCUCGGCCACGCCCACCCGGACUGAGACCGCCCACUGCCGCUAGGCCCUCAGCCACCGCUUCCGCCCCGCGGCCCCGUCGCGUCACACCGCCCCGCCCCGCGCCCGAACCC